GAGUAGUGCUUGGGAACAUGCCUUGAGGUGGGGGACAACAGUUGGAAACCACUGCUAAUACCGCAUAAUGUCUACGGACCAAAGGGGGCUUCGGCUCUCGCCUUUAGAUUGGCCCAAGUGGGAUUAGCUAGUUGGUGAGGUAAUGGCUCACCAAGGCAACGAUCCCUAGCUGGUUUGAGAGGAUGAUCAGCCACACUGGGACUGAGACACGGCCCACACUCCUACGGGAGGCAGCAGUGGGGAAUAUUGCACAAUGGGCGCAAGCCUGAUGCAGCCAUGCCGCGUGUGUGAAGAAGGCCUUCGGGUUGUAAAGCACUUUCAGUCAGGAGGAAAGGUUAGUAGUUAAUACCUGCUAGCUGUGACGUUACUGACAGAAGAAGCACCGGCUAACUCCGUGCCAGCAGCCGCGGUAAUACGGAGGGUGCGAGCGUUAAUCGGAAUUACUGGGCGUAAAGCGUACGCAGGCGGUUUGUUAAGCGAGAUGUGAAAGCCCCGGGCUCAACCUGGGAACUGCAUUUCGAACUGGCAAACUAGAGUGUGAUAGAGGGUGGUAGAAUUUCAGGUGUAGCGGUGAAAUGCGUAGAGAUCUGAAGGAAUA
rnacentral:rRNA from 1 species